rnacentral:rRNA from 1 species
CAGUAGCCACGGUAAUACAGAGGGUGCGAGCGUUAAUCGGAUUUACUGGGCGUAAAGCGUGCGUAGGCGGCUAAUUGAGUCGGAUGUGAAAUCCCCGAGCUUAACUUGGGAAUUGCAUUCGAUACUGGUUAGCUAGAGUGUGGGAGAGGAUGGUAGAAUUCCAGGUGUAGCGGUGAAAUGCGUAGAGAUCUGGAGGAAUACCGAUGGCGAAGGCAGCCAUCUGGCCUAACACUGACGCUGAGGUACGAAAGCAUGGGGAGCAAACAGGAUUAGAGACCCGUGUAGUCCCUGUCUCUUAUAC